CCUACGGGGGGCAGCAGUGGGGAAUAUUGGACAAUGGGGGCAACCCUGAUCCAGCCGUGCCGCGUGUGUGAAGAAGGCCCUCGGGUUGUAAAGCACUUUCAGUGAGGAAGAACGCCUGGUGGUUAAUACCCAUCAGGAAAGACAUCACUCACAGAAGAAGCACCGGCUAACUCCGUGCCAGCAGCCGCGGUAAUACGGAGGGUGCGAGCGUUAAUCGGAAUUACUGGGCGUAAAGCGCGCGUAGGUGGCUUGAUAAGCCGGUUGUGAAAGCCCCGGGCUCAACCUGGGAACGGCAUCCGGAACUGUCAAGCUAGAGUGCAGGAGAGGAAGGUAGAAUUCCCGGUGUAGCGGUGAAAUGCGUAGAGAUCGGGAGGAAUACCAGUGGCGAAGGCGGCCUUCUGGACUGACACUGACACUGAGGUGCGAAAGCGUGGGUAGCAAACAGGAUUAGAUACCCCGGUAGUC
rnacentral:rRNA from 1 species